rnacentral:rRNA from 1 species
GGGGAAUAUUGGGCAAUGGGCGCAAGCCUGACCCAGCAACGCCGCGUGAAGGAAGAAGGCUUUCGGGUUGUAAACUUCUUUUAUCAGGGACGAUAAUGACGGUACCUGAUGAAUAAGCUCCGGCUAACUACGUGCCAGCAGCCGCGGUAAUACGUAGGGAGCAAGCGUUAUCCGGAUUUACUGGGUGUAAAGGGCGUGUAGGCGGGACUGCAAGUCAGAUGUGAAAACUAUGGGCUUAACCCAUAGCCUGCAUUUGAAACUGUAGUUCUUGAGUGGUGGAGAGGCAAAUGGAAUUCCUAGUGUAGCGGUGAAAUGCGUAGAUAUUAGGAAGAACACCAGUGGCGAAGGCGAUUUGCUGGACACUAACUGACGCUGAGGCGCGAAAGCGUGGGGAGCAAACAGGAUUAGAUACCCUGGUAGUCCACGCCGUAAACGAUGGAUACUAGGUGUGGGGGGUCUGACCCCCUCCGUGCCGCAGUUAACACAAUAAGUAUCCCACCUGGGGAGUACGAUCGCAAGGUUGAAACUCAAAGGAAUUGACGGGGGCCCGCACAAGCGGUGGAGUAUGUGGUUUAAUUCGAAGCAACGCGAAGAACCUUACCAGGUCUUGACAUCCCGAUGACCGGUGUAGAGAUACACCUUCUCUUCGGAGCAUCGGUGACAGGUGGUGCAUGGUUGUCGUCAGCUCGUGUCGUGAGAUGUUGGGUUAAGUCCCGCAACGAGCGCAACCCUUGUUGCUAGUUGCUACGCAAGAGCACUCUAGCGAUACUGCCGUUGACAAAACGGAGGAAGGUGGGGACGACGUCAAAUCAUCAUGCCCCUUAUGACCUGGGCCACACACGUACUACAAUGGCGGUUAACAGAGGGAAGCAAUACCGCGAGGUGGAGCAAAUCCCUAAAAGCCGUCCCAGUUCGGAUUGCAGGCUGCAACCCGCCUGCAUGAAGUCGGAAUCGCUAGUAAUCGCGGAUCAGCAUGCCGCGGUGAAUACGUUCCCG